CAGCAGGCGCGAAAACUUUACAAUGCGGGAAACCGUGAUAAGGGGACACCGAGUGCCAGCAUCAUAUGCUGGCUGUCCAGGUGUGUAAAAUACACCUGUUAGCAAGGGCCGGGCAAGACCGGUGCCAGCCGCCGCGGUAACACCGGCGGCCCGAGUGGUGAUCGUGAUUAUUGGGUCUAAAGGGUCCGUAGCCGGUUUGGUCAGUCCUCCGGGAAAUCUGAUAGCUUAACUAUUAGGCUUUCGGAGGAUACUGCCAGACUUGGAACCGGGAGAGGUAAGAGGUACUACAGGGGUAGGAGUGAAAUCUUGUAAUCCCUGUGGGACCACCUGUGGCGAAGGCGUCUUACCAGAACGGGUUUGACGGUGAGGGACGAAAGCUGGGGGCACGAACCGGAUUAGAUACCCGGGUAGUCCCAGCCGUAAACGAUGCUCGCUAGGUGUCAGGCAUGGCGCGACCGUGUCUGGUGCCGCAGGGAAGCCGUGAAGCGAGCCACCUGGGAAGUACGGCCGCAAGGCUGAAACUUAAAGGAAUGGCGGGGGAGCAC
rnacentral:rRNA from 1 species